rnacentral:rRNA from 1 species
UUAGAUGUUUUUAACAAAGUACGGUCAGGUCUGGUCAGUUCUUGAGUGGGAGACCUCCAGGGAAAACCGAAGGUGCUAUCCAGA